UGUUGCUACGGCAGCACGUAUACUAAAAUUGGAACGAUACAGAGAUGAUUCGCACGGCCCUGCGCAAGGACGACACGUGAAGUAUAACUCUAGUCCAUUUAA